UUGAACGCUGGCGGCAUGCCUUACACAUGCAAGUCGAACGGUAACAGGUCUUCGGAUGCUGACGAGUGGCGAACGGGUGAGUAAUACAUCGGAACGUGCCCGAUCGUGGGGGAUAACGCAGCGAAAGCUGUGCUAAUACCGCAUACGAUCUACGGAUGAAAGCGGGGGAUCGCAAGACCUCGCGCGGACGGAGCGGCCGAUGGCAGAUUAGGUAGUUGGUGGGAUAAAAGCUUACCAAGCCGACGAUCUGUAGCUGGUCUGAGAGGACGACCAGCCACACUGGGACUGAGACACGGCCCAGACUCCUACGGGAGGCAGCAGUGGGGAAUUUUGGACAAUGGGCGCAAGCCUGAUCCAGCCAUGCCGCGUGCAGGAUGAAGGCCUUCGGGUUGUAAACUGCUUUUGUACGGAACGAAAAAGCUCUCUCUAAUACAGGGGGUGAAUGACGGUACCGUAAGAAUAAGCACCGGCUAACUACGUG
rnacentral:rRNA from 1 species